GGCCAGAUAGCUCAGUUGGUUAAAGUGCUGUCCUGAUAUGUCAAGGAUGCAGGUUUGAUCCCUGGUCAGGGCA
rnacentral:tRNA from 1 species